rnacentral:lncRNA from 1 species
UGCCGAUCCUCCAGUGGGGAGGGCAAAAUUCAGUAAAUGGGUGUUAGGGAGAGAGGCAAGAGAACCUAACAUCUCCUUCGCAUGGUGUAGGCAUCUGGUCUUUCAGGAGAGAAUCGCUCUCAGUCUUGCUGGAGUCCUGCUCAGAAGAACUCAAGGGUCUUUCUGAGAUGUCCUGUGGGCCAGUUUUGUAAAGUUGGAGAUACCUAGAAGGUAGGGCUGUAUUCAAAAGAAUAGCUCUGUUUUUAUCUGUUUUACGCAUUCAUUAAAGUUUCAUAAGCUAUCCUAUAGGGAGAAAUGAUGCAUACAUACACAUUUAUUUAUGUGUAUGGUUUAUUCUUUUUGUGGGAUUUGCUUUGGGUGAGCUUCAUUCUUUAAAAUAAAUUUAUGGCACUUUGUAUAGAUAACUUUUGCAAUAUGAGUAGUAACUCCCACUUGCUGUUUUGGAAUAUCAAAUUUUGUUAAUAAUAAUUUCAUUUUAUAUCUAUGAAGUAUGUUAGCGUUCAUAAAAGCUGGUUUGCAUAAUCUUAAUGGGCCCUCAAAACCAC